GUGGCGUGGUCGAGCAGUAUACCGGAUCCAAUCCUCGCGGCGGGGUGGAUGUCGACGGCGAAAACGUCGGCGAUGCGGGACUGGAGCGCGAGGGCGAGGGGGCGGCGGGACUGAGUCCAGAGGGCGUGGGAGAUGCGGUGGGUCUGGACGGCGAGGUAGCCCUUGUAGUUGAGGAGGCAGUGGGAGAAGGAGGCGCAGGCGGGGUCGCGGUGGCGGGCGGCGAUGAGAUCGGCAGCGGCGGCGGCGCGGAGGGA
rnacentral:misc_RNA from 1 species